CAAAAUGCAGAAAAACGUCAGCUCUUCUCCAGUAGGAACACAUGUCUUGUUGUAUUUUUGAAAAGUAAACAUGUAAAGUUGGCUGAUUCUUGAGUCUGUGUUCAUUAUGAAAUAUGCUGGACAGCAAUAUCUGAACUGUGUCUUGUGAAUAUCCAGAGAGCGUGUCUGGGUUUCCUCAACAUGAACUUUCAUUUAUGCAUGCAGAUUUCUUUUGCCAUGUAGGGCCAAAACAAAUAUGAACAAUUUUAUGAUUCAUAGCUGCUGAAACCACAGUGACUUAAGGUCAGUUUUUUAUUGCACAUUUGUUCUGUUUAGAUUUUGCUCUUUAUGAUGAUUGUCAGCACUAUAUUUAGAGAAAAGAAGAGAGAGCGUUCAGAAAGAGGCGCUACCACCCUGCAAACAUAUUCCCAACUGGUUUAUACAUUGUGACAACUGGAACAGUACAGGAACUCGGCAGGUGCCCUGAUCAAAGCCACAGAGACAGUCUGCAAAUAACCAAACCUCAACAUAAAGUGAUUCUUCAUCAUUAAGAGCUAAAUAUAAUUAAUCGGGCAUCAUCCUGCCAGUCCUUGUGGUUUCCAGUCAUAUUCUGGGAAGGGGCCACAAUCUCAGAAGAUCUUGGAUGUUUUUCCGUGUUCCCUUCUUUCACUACGAGGGGAGAUGGCGAUCAUGGAUCACUGCUUGGAGAAGGAAAGUUUGGCAGCCGUUUACCAAGUGACUACUUCAACUAAAACAUAUUUAGCUAAAUGUGCAGGUCAAGCAUCUGCCCCACUGAAACACUAUAAUUCCCCCUGGUCAACAAAGAAGCUUGGACCUUUCAACUGCACACAGCCAUCUGGCCAGGCCAAUGACAGACCUCCAUGUAGCCACUUUAGAUGGCAGGAUUACUGGGCUGUGACUGCCACGGCAGGAUGCUCAGGGGACCGGGGGAUCUGUGUCCUGAAGCCCAGGGAACUUGAUCGGUGGGGGGAUGACUGCAAAGACCUCCAGCCUACAGCAGCAAAAUGGGCGCCUGGGGAGCAAGAGCUCACAAUGGAGUCUCUCAGCACCCAGACAGCAGCAGAGAAUGAAUGAGGAGAAGGGGGGGGGGGGGGUGAUGGGUAAGACGAGAGGAAAAGGAGCAUUGUUGCACAGAUGUCUGGGGUGAAGCUAUGGAGUCAGGACGAGACUGAGUCAGUGCACCUGUAGGACUUCAUGCAGGUUAGAAGAGUGAAAUGCAGAUUUCUCAUGGGAUCUGUCUCUUUCUAUGGACAGUGGACAUGAGGUCAUGCGAAAAGUAUCAUAUGUCCAUGUGUUUGCUUGACACCAGAUGAAUUUCUUAUACACAUUAAGCUUGAAUUAUGGACAAUCCUACAAAAAUGUAUCCAACGUGAUCUCAUGAGAAUGUGUGUGUGGUUAUACAGCGAUCUUGAUUCCAGUUCUCAACAGCAACUGUAAACGUCAAAUCUCACGUUCAUAUUUGAAUUCAAAUAAGAAGCUUUACGGCAGUGAUAUCAAACGCUCAUUUGCUCAUGCGUGCUACAUUACAGAUUUGUGUCAUUGCUGUCUUUCAGUCAAUGUACCUUUGAAAUUUUAAAUGUGCGCCUUGAGAAGCCUGAUUAACAUUCUCAUGGAUAAAUAACUUUAAUACUCAUCAGACCCACGUGCGGUGACACGAUUACGCAUCUGGUCUGAAAUUUACUUCCGGUUUCAGAUUUUUUUAAUGGUCUGACUAGUUGCUAAAUUGAACUCUUAAACAAAUACCUUGUCAAAAAUAACAAAUGUUUUGGUUUCCUAGG